rnacentral:rRNA from 1 species
GAUGAACGCUGGCGGCGUGCCUAAUACAUGCAAGUCGAGCGAACAGAUGAGGAGCUUGCUCCUCUGACGUUAGCGGCGGACGGGUGAGUAACACGUGGAUAACCUACCUAUAAGACUGGGAUAACUUCGGGAAACCGGAGCUAAUACCGGAUAAUAUAUUGAACCGCAUGGUUCAAUAGUGAAAGACGGUUUUGCUGUCACUUAUAGAUGGAUCCGCGCCGCAUUAGCUAGUUGGUAAGGUAACGGCUUACCAAGGCAACGAUGCGUAGCCGACCUGAGAGGGUGAUCGGCCCCACUUGAACUGGGAAACGGUCCAGACUCCUAAGGGAGGCAGCAGUAGGGAAUCUUGCCCCAUGGGCGAAAGCCUGAAGGAGCCAAGCCGCGUGGGUGAAGAAGGUCUUCGGGUUGUAAAACCCUUUUAUUGGGGAAGAAAAAAAGUUUAAGAAAACGUGGCCCUAUUGACGGUACCCAAAGAAAAAGCCCCGGCUAACUCCGGG